rnacentral:rRNA from 1 species
CCCUAUGGCGACAUGGGAACCGAACUCGGCGACAUGGGCUCGAGCAAGAAGGGCGGCUGCCGCAUCCUGCUGGUCGAGGAUUCGCCCCUCAUCCGCAAAAAGACGGUGAAGGCGCUCACCAACGCGGGCAUCACCGUCAUCGAGGCCGGCGACGGCCAGGAAGCGUGGGACAAGGUGACGGAGAUGGGCGAGGAGGCGAAGAAGAAGGGCGAAAGCAUCUUCUCGCACAUCGACCUCGUCCUCUCGGACAUCGAGAUGCCGCGCAUGGACGGCUACACCUUCCCCCUCAAGCUGAAACACGACCAGAACCUUCGCGUCCUGCCCGGGCUGCUGCACAGCUGGAUCACCAACGACAGCAUGAUCAAGCGCGCGAACGAAGUCGAAGCCGACGGCUUCAUCCCCAAAUGCGAUCCGAAGGAAUUGGCGGGAGAGC